rnacentral:rRNA from 1 species
GUGCCAGCAGCCGCGGUAAUACGUAGGUGGCAAGCGUUGUCCGGAAUUAUUGGGCGUAAAGCGCGCGCAGGCGGUUCCUUAAGUCUGAUGUGAAAGCCCCCGGCUCAACCGGGGAGGGUCAUUGGAAACUGGGGAACUUGAGUGCAGAAGAGGAGAGCGGAAUUCCACGUGUAGCGGUGAAAUGCGUAGAGAUGUGGAGGAACACCAGUGGCGAAGGCGGCUCUCUGGUCUGUAACUGACGCUGAGGCGCGAAAGCGUGGGGAGCGAACAGGAUUAGAAACCCCCGUAGUCC